rnacentral:rRNA from 1 species
CAGCAGCCACGGUAAUACGGAGGGGGCUAGCGUUGUUCGGAAUUACUGGGCGUAAAGCGCACGUAGGCGGCUUUGUAAGUUAGAGGUGAAAGCCUGGGGCUCAACUCCAGAAUUGCCUUUAAGACUGCAUCGCUUGAACGUCGGAGAGGUGAGUGGAAUUCCGAGUGUAGAGGUGAAAUUCGUAGAUAUUCGGAAGAACACCAGUGGCGAAGGCGGCUCACUGGACGACUGUUGACGCUGAGGUGCGAAAGCGUGGGGAGCAAACAGGAUUAGAUACCCCAGUAGUCCCUGUCUCUUAUAC